rnacentral:rRNA from 1 species
UAGGGAAUCUUCGGCAAUGGGGGCAACCCUGACCGAGCAACGCCGCGUGAGUGAAGAAGGUUUUCGGAUCGUAAAGCUCUGUUGUAAGUCAAGAACGGGUGUGAGAGUGGAAAGUUCACACUGUGACGGUAGCUUACCAGAAAGGGACGGCUAACUACGUGCCAGCAGCCGCGGUAAUACGUAGGUCCCGAGCGUUGUCCGGAUUUAUUGGGCGUAAAGCGAGCGCAGGCGGUUUGAUAAGUCUGAAGUUAAAGGCUGUGGCUCAACCAUAGUUCGCUUUGGAAACUGUCAAACUUGAGUGCAGAAGGGGAGAGUGGAAUUCCAUGUGUAGCGGUGAAAUGCGUAGAUAUAUGGAGGAACACCGGUGGCGAAAGCGGCUCUCUGGUCUGUAACUGACGCUGAGGCUCGAAAGCGUGGGGAGCGAACAGGAUUAGAUACCCUGGUAGUCCACGCCGUAAACGAUGAGUGCUAGGUGUUGGAUCCUUUCCGGGAUUCAGUGCCGCAGCUAACGCAUUAAGCACUCCGCCUGGGGAGUACGACCGCAAGGUUGAAACUCUAAGUGAAUUGAC